CCUACGGGGGGCAGCAGUGGGGAAUAUUGCACAAUGGGGGAAACCCUGAUGCAGCGACGCCGCGUGAGCGAUGAAGUAUCUCGGUAUGUAAAGCUCUAUCAGCAGGGAAGAAAGUGACAGUACCUGACUAAGAAGCCCCGGCUAACUACGUGCCAGCAGCCGCGGUAAUACGUAGGGGGCAAGCGUUAUCCGGAUUCACUGGGCGUAAAGGGAGCGCAGGCGGCACGGCAAGUCUGGUGUGAAAACCCGGGGCUCAACCCCGGGACUGCAUUGGAAACUGCCGGGCUGGAGUGUCGGAGGGGUAA
rnacentral:rRNA from 1 species